UACAGAGGUCCCGAGCGUUGUUCGGAUUCACUGGGCGUAAAGGGUGCGUAGGUGGUGAGGUAAGUCGGAUGUGAAAGCUCCAAGCUCAACUUGGAAAUGGCAUUGGAAACUACCUUGCUAGAGGGUUUGAGGGGGGACUGGAAUACUUGGUGUAGCAGUGAAAUGCGUAGAUAUCAGGAGGAACACCGGUGGCGAAGGCGGCUACCUGGACAGAAACUGACGCUGAGGCGCGAAAGCUAGGGGAGCAAACAGG
rnacentral:rRNA from 1 species